rnacentral:rRNA from 1 species
CCUACGGGAGGCAACAGUGAGGCAUAUUGGUCAAUGGCCGUAAGGCUGAACCAGCCAAGUCGCGUGAAGGAAGAAGGAUCUAUGGUUUGUAAACUUCUUUUAUAGGGGAAUAAAGGUAUCCACGUGUGGAUAUUUGCAUGUACCCUAUGAAUAAGCAUCGGCUAACUCCGUGCCAGCAGCCGCGGUAAUACGGAGGAUGCGAGCGUUAUCCGGAUUUAUUGGGUUUAAAGGGUGCGUAGGUUGUUUUUUAAGUCAGCGGUGAAAGUUUGUGGCUCAACCAUAAAAUUGCCGUUGAAACUGGAAGACGUGAGUGUGUUUGAGGUAGGCGGAAUGCGUGGUGUAGCGGUGAAAUGCAUAGAUAUCACGCAGAACUCCGAUUGCGAAGGCAGCUUACUAAGCCAUAACUGACACUGAAGCACGAAAGCGUGGGGAUCAAACAGGAUUAGAUACCCCUGUAGUC